ACAAAAUUGGCUUCAAGCCACGAUACCAAUUACUCAUCGCCAAUCAAGGGAUGAGGUUGAGGCAUUGGAGGAGGAAUUUCAUGAUUUAGUUUUAAAUCAACAGUCAUCAUCAAGUGCAUCAGUAAGUACCAGCUCCAAAUUGGGUUCUAGCUUAGGCAAACGACCCAUAAUUAGUGUUGAAGAUUGAUAACUGAGUUGGCGGAAUCACUUAUUUUGUGAAGGAGGCAGAACCUUUUGGAAG